rnacentral:rRNA from 1 species
UACGUAGGGGGCAAGCGUUGUCCGGAAUCAUUGGGCGUAAAGCGCGUGUAGGCGGCCCGGUAAGUCCGCUGUGAAAGUCCAGGGCUCAACCCUGGGAUGCCGGUGGAUACUGUCGGGCUCGAGUCCGGAAGAGGCGAGUGGAAUUCCUGGUGUAGCGGUGAAAUGCGCAGAUAUCGAGGAGGAACACCGAUGGCGAAGGCAGCUCGCUGGGACGUGACUGACGCUGAGACGCGAAAGCGUGGGGAGCAAACAGG